rnacentral:misc_RNA from 1 species
UCCCCGUUACCGAGGCAGUCUGACUAGACAUAUACAACUAGCCACGAGGGUUGCGCUCGUUGAAGGACUUAACCUAACAUCUCACGACACGAGCUGACGACAGCCAUGCAGCACCUGUCACCAGGUUCCUUGCGGCACAUCUGCCUUUCGGCGGACUUCCUGGGAUGUCAAACCCUGGUAAGGUUCUUCGCGUAUCUUCGAAUUAAACCACACGCUCCACCGCUUGUGCGGGUCCCCGUCAAUUCCUUUGAGUUUUAAGCUUGCGCUCGUACUCCCCAGGCGGGAUGCUUAACGCGUUAGCUUCGCUACCGAACGGGUCGAUACGUCCAACAGCUAGCAUCCAUCGUUUACGGCGUGGACUAC